rnacentral:rRNA from 1 species
UGCGUAGGGGGCAAGCGUUAUCCGGAUUUACUGGGUGUAAAGGGUGCGUAGACGGUGAUGCAAGUCUGAAGUGAAAGGCGGGGGCUCAACCCCCGGACUGCUUUGGAAACUGUAUGACUGGAGUGCAGGAGAGGUAAGUGGAAUUCCUAGUGUAGCGGUGAAAUGCGUAGAUAUUAGGAGGAACACCAGUGGCGAAGGCGGCUUACUGGACUGUAACUGACGUUGAGGCUCGAAAGCGUGGGGAGCAAACAGG